rnacentral:rRNA from 1 species
UUUCAAAGAUAAUAAACUUCUCCAGCAAAUACAUGAACAACUCUAUUCAAAUAGAGGCUCCUAUGCUAAAACUAUUAAUACGAGAAACCACUCUACGUGCGCAUUCAUCACUCAAGCAGUACCGACAAUUAACAGACCUAAAAAGGAUAAGUACAAUUUAAUAAACAUACCCUUUAAAUACUGUGAAUCCAACUAAGGUGCGCUACAUAGUAUAAUUAAAAGUUACAAAAGGAACUCGGCAAACACAGAUUCCAACUGUUUACCAAAAACAUAGCCUUUAGCCAAACAAGUAUUGAAGGUAAUGCCUGCCCAGUGAAAUCACUUUAAACGGCCGCGGUACCCUAACCGUGCAAAGGUAGCGUAAUCA